AUCGGUUUGAAAGUACAGACCUAUUUAUGAAAGCAAGUUUUGAAAAGUUCCCCAUCAAGUGUUAUCCAUUGAUAUCCACUCGUAGUGAAUUCCUCCUAAUUAGUUCCAUAAGUAUAAAGAAGUAUCAAACCUAUAUGCCGUGUGGCAACAAUUAAAAUUUAAAGGAAUUCAAUAUGUCUAAUACAAUGACUGGUUUAGUAAAAUGGUUUAACGAAUCUAAAGGCUUUGGCUUUAUUUCUCCUGCUGAUGGCAGCAAAGAUGUGUUCGUACACUUCUCUGCAAUUCAAAGCGACAGCUUCAAAACGCUGAACGAAGGACAAAAAGUUAGCUUCUCAGUAGAGAAUGGUGCAAAAGGUCCAGCGGCUGUAAACGUCGUAGCUCUUUAAGAUACCCGCUUAAUACAGCGCUUAAAAUUUCAAACCCCUGCCAAUUGGCGGGGGUUUUUCG
rnacentral:sRNA from 1 species